GAAUAUUGGACAAUGGGGGCAACCCUGAUCCAGCCAUGCCGCGUGUGUGAAGAAGGCUUUCGGGUUGUAAAGCACUUUCAGUGCGGAGGAAAACUCUGCGACUAAUACUCGUAGGGCUUGACGUUACUCACAGAAGAAGCACCGGCUAACUCCGUGCCAGCAGCCGCGGUAAUACGGAGGGUGCAAGCGUUAAUCGGAAUUACUGGGCGUAAAGCGCGCGUAGGUGGUUUGAUAAGCGAGAUGUGAAAGCCCCGGGCUUAACCUGGGAACGGCAUUUCGAACUGUCAGGCUAGAGUGUGGUAGAGGGUAGUGGAAUUUCCUGUGUAGCGGUGAAAUGCGUAGAUAUAGGAAGGAACACCAGUGGCGAAGGCGGCUACCUGGACCAACACUGACACUGAGGUGCGAAAGCGUGGGGAGCAAACAGG
rnacentral:rRNA from 1 species